CGAGGUGUAGCGCAGUUGGUAGCGCGCCUGCUUUGGGAGCAGGAUGUCGCAGGUUCAAGUCCUGUCACCUCGA
rnacentral:tRNA from 1 species